rnacentral:rRNA from 1 species
CCUACGGGAGGCAGCAGUGGGGAAUAUUGGGCAAUGGGCGAAAGCCUGAACCAGCCAUGCCGCGUGCAGGAAGACGGCUCUAUGAGUUGUAAACUGCUUUUGUACAAGGGUAAACCUGAAUACGUGUAUUCAGCUGAAAGUACUGUACGAAUAAGGAUCGGCUAACUCCGUGCCAGCAGCCGCGGUAAUACGGAGGAUCCAAGCGUUAUCCGGAUUUAUUGGGUUUAAAGGGUGCGUAGGCGGAUUGAUAAGUUAGAGGUGAAAUGUCCGAGCUUAACUCGGGAACUGCCUCUAAUACUGUUGAUCUAGAGAGUAGAUGCGGUAGGCGGAAUGUAUGGUGUAGCGGUGAAAUGCUUAGAGAUCAUACAGAACACCGAUUGCGAAGGCAGCUUACCAAUCUAUAUCUGACGUUGAGGCACGAAAGCGUGGGGAGCAAACAGGAUUAGAUACCCGAGUAGUC